AUCCCAGACUCCUACGGGAGGCAGCAGUGGGGGAUAUUGGACAAUGGGGGAAACCCUGAUCCAGCGACGCCGCGUGAGUGAAGAAGUAUUUCGGUAUGUAAAGCUCUGUCAGCAGGGAAGAAAUAGCGACCUUUGGGUCGCCAGACGGUACCUGAUUAAGAAGCCCCGGCUAACUACGUGCCAGCAGCCGCGGUAAUACGUAGGGGGCAAGCGUUAUCCGGAUUUACUGGGUGUAAAGGGAGCGUAGACGGUUAUGUAAGUCUGGAGUGAAAGCCCGGGGCCCAACCCCGGGACUGCAUUGGAAACUGUUGAACUGGAGUACAGGAGAGGUAAGCGGAAUUCCUAGUGUAGCGGUGAAAUGCGUAGAUAUUAGGAGGAACACCAGUGGCGAAGGCGGCUUACUGGACUGUAACUGACGUUGAGGCUCGAAAGCGUGGGGAGCAAACAGGAUUAGAUACCCUAGUAUAA
rnacentral:rRNA from 1 species